CGACCCCAGGUCAGGUGGGGCUACCGCUGAGUUUAAACAUAUAAAAUAGCGGAGGAGAAAAAAAACUUACAAAGGAUUCCCUUAAUAAUGGUGAGCGAACGGGAUCAACCCAACGAGAAUCAGGCUGGCUGCGUCGUCUGGUAUAGUCUGCAGAAGCAUCCUCCAGCGAUGGACGGGCCCAAGUCCCCACUGGAAGGGGCACGGGGAGAGGUGAAGCCCGUCGGCUCGGACCCUGCACCACGAGGUAGCUGUCGAUGAGUCGGAUAGUUUGGGAAUGCAGCCCCUCGAGGCGGUAAAUUCGUCAAAGGCUAAAUAUGGCGAGAGACCGAUAGCAAACAAGAUACCGUGAGGAAAGAUGAAAAGGACUUUGAAAGAAAGUCAAAGAGUGCUUGAAAUUGCGGGGGGGAAGCGGAUGGGGCCGGCGAUGCACCUGGUCGGAUGCGGAACGGCGGUUAGCGGUCCGCCCACUUCAGCUUCAGUGCGGAUCGUCACGGGGUGCAUCGGCGGCCAAAACGGACGGAUCGUUCGUUCGAGGGAUACCGUCGUUGCGGUGAGGACAUAGCGCACCAUCGGCAUACACCUUGAGGUACGUCACGACCUAGGCAUCGGCCCGGUGGGCUCCUCAUCCGACCCGUCUUGAAACACGGACCAAAAGUCUGACAUGCGUGCGAGGAAGGCGCCCAGGCGGAAACCGGAAGGCACAAAGGAAGCUAGCGGUGGGAACCCUCUUUAGGGUUGCACCAUGCCCGCCGACCCGAUCUUCUUUGAAGGGUUCGAGUUGGACAUGCAUGUCGGGACCGAAGAUGGUGAACUAUGCCUGGCCGAAAAAGAAACUCUGGUGGAGGCGGCGAUCUUGGCGUGCAAAUCGUUAAAUCUGACUUGGGUAUAGAGGCGAAAAGACUAAUGAACCAUCUAGUAGCUGGUUCCCUCGAAGUUUCCCUCGGGGAUGGCUGGAGCCACGUUGAGUUCUCGGGUAAAGCCAAUGAUUAGAGGCAUCGAGGAGCAGCGCCCUCGAUCUAUUCUCAAACUUUAAAUUGGUAGGGCCGGUAUGGCUGCCGUUGAGCAGCGUCGCGAAUCAAAAACUCCAAGUGGGCCAUUUUUUGUUAAGCAAAGCUGGCGUCGCGGGAUGAACGGAAGCCGGGUUCACGGUGCCAACUGUCGCUAACCGGACACCACAAAGGGUGUUGGUUGAUUAAAACAACGGGGCGGUGGUCAUGGAAGUCGAAAUCCGCUAAAGGAGUGUGUAACAACUCACCUGCGAAUCAACUAGCCCGAAAAUGGAUGGCUGAAGCUGACCCACCAGGCCAUCGAGGCGGCAAAGCCCGAUGAGUAGUGGUCAAGCCAUAAAACCCAGAGCUGAAGCGGGGUGAAUGGCCAUCGGUUAAUCUUAGUGGUAGUAGCAAAUAUUCAAAUGAACUUUGAAGGCCGAAAAAAGGUUCCAUGUGAGCGGCACUUGCACAUGGGUUACCCGAUCCCUAAGGGGGGGAAGCCCGUCCGAGCGUCUCCGUCGCGAGCUCGAAAUGGAAUGGGUUAAAAUUCCCAAACCGGGCCGGCGGCGUGACGAAUAGCGUUAGAGAAAUCCGGAGGCGUCGGUGGGGCUCGGGAAGAUUAUCUUUUCUGCUUAACGGCCCGCCCACCCUGGAAGCAGCUCAGCCGGAGGUAGAAGGUCCAUCGGUCGGAAGAAAAGCGCCGCCGUCAGCGUCAGUGCGCCUGCCCGACCCUUGAAAAUCAGGAGGACCGAGUGCGCCAGCGCCCGAUCGCUAUACUCAUCAUCAGGUCUCCAAGGUGAACAGCCUCUGGCCCAUGGAACAAUGUAGGCAAGGAAGUCGGCCAAAACGGAUCCGUAACCCGGGGAAAAGGAUUGGCUCGAGGGCUGGGCGCAGGGGGACCCCCAUUCCCGUCAUUUGUCGGCGGACUGCUCGGAAACUUCUCUGGCGGCCGAGAGAAUUCCGCCAGCGUCUGCCGGCCGGGGCGAACAGGGAAUGGCCGGGGGGCCUUCCCGGCGUCGAACAACCAUUUUCUGAACAAAUGGGGACAAGGGAAUCCGACUGUUUAAUUAAAACAAAAGCAUUGCGAUGGUCCCUGGAUGCUCGCUGCAUGUGAUUUCUGCCCAGUGCUCUGAAUGUCAAAGUGAAGAAAUUCAAUAGCGAAUUAGCGGCGGUGAGAUGUAACUAUGACUCUCUUAAGAUAGCCAAAUGCCUCGUCAUCUAAUAAGUGGCCAGCAUGGAUGGAUUGCGAGAUUCCCUGUCCUAUCUACUAUCCACUGAAACCACAAUAGGGGCGGGCUUGGCAGAAUCAAUGGGGAAAAAGACCCUGUUGACUUGACUCUAGUCGACUUUGUGAAAUGACUUGAGAGGUGUGGGAUAAGUGGGAGCAGGUUAGCCAGGAGUGAAAUACCACUACUUUAGCGCGUUAUUUUAUUUAUUCCGUGGAGUGGGAGGAGGGGCCCGGCCCUCCACCGACAAGGCCCGCCCUAAGCAGAUAAUCAAAAGCCGGAAGACAUUGUCGGGUGGGGAGUUUGGCUGGGGCACAUCUGUUAAAAGAUAGCGCCGGGUGUCUAAGAUAAAGCUCAACGAGAACAGAAAUCUCGUGUGGAACAAAGGGUAAAGCUUCGUUUGAUUCUGAUUUCCAGUACUGAAUCUGAACCGUGAAAAAAGUGGCCUAUCGAUCGUUUUAGACCUUGAAUUUGAAGCUAGAGGUGUGGGAAAAGUUACCACAGGGAUAACUGGCUUGUAGCAGCCAAGCGUUCAUAGCUGGCGUUGCUUUUGAUCGCCGAUGUAACUCUUCCUAUCAUUGUGAAGCAGAAUUCACCAAGUGUUGGAUUGUUCACCCACCAAUAGGAGCGUGAGCUGGGUUUAGACCGUCGUGAGACAAGUUAGUUUUACCCUCUGAUGAUGAUGUUGUGAUAGGUAAUUCAACCUAGUACAGGAGAGGAACCGUUUGAUUCCACACAAUUGGUCAUGGCGCUUGGUUGAAAAAGCCAGUGGUGUGAAACUACCGUGUCAGAUUAUGACUGAGCGCCUCUAAGUCAGAAUCUAGCUAGCAACGGCUCUCGCCCGUCGUUAAGCCUCCCGACCGACGGUAAGGGGCCCCAGCCCCCAUGGAAACGAUAAUAGCCGGUGUAGCCCUCGUGGUGGUAUAGCCACGGGCGGUCAUCGGGAAGUGAAAUUCCGCCUGCGGACGGCCGGGCGAAUCCUUUCGGCGGGCGACUUAAAUCGCGAUGGGGCAUUGUAA
rnacentral:rRNA from 1 species